CUAAGGUAGCAUAAUCACUUGUUAUUUAAUUGAUAACUGGAAUGAAAGGCUAAACUAGCUUAUUAAGUUUGUAAAGCUAAAUAGUAUAUUAAAGUUAAGGUAAGAAUUCUUUAAUUUUCUAGGGGACGAUAAGACCCUAGAAGCUUAACAAGCGGAAUUUUUUGUCUUGAGAGUUGGUUUGUUUUACUGGGGCGGUAAAAAUAAUUAAGCUAUUUUUUAUGUAAAGGAUCCUUAAGAUAAAGAAAAAAUAGGAAAGUUACUCUAGGGAUAA
rnacentral:rRNA from 1 species